GUGUCAGCAGCCGCGGUAAAACGUAGGAGGCGAGCGUUAUCCGGAUUUACUGGGCGUAAAGCGCGCGCAGGCGGGUCAGUGAGUCGGACGUGAAAGCUCCUGGCUUAACUGGGAGAGGCCGUUCGAUACUGCUGGGCUUGAGGUUGGGAGAGGGGUGCGGAAUUCCCGGUGUAGUGGUGGAAUGCGUAGAUAUCGGGAGGAACACCUGUGGCGAAAGCGGCACCCUGGCCCACACCUGACGCUGAGGUGCGAAAGCGUGGGUAGCAAACAGGAUUAGAUACCCUCGUAGUCC
rnacentral:rRNA from 1 species